UGCGUAGGCGGCCAAAUAAGUCAGAUGUGAAAGUCCAGGGCUUAACCGUGGAAUCGCAUUUGAAACUGUAUGGCUUGAGUGCAGGAGAGGAGAGCGGAAUUCCUAGUGUAGUGGUGAAAUGCGUAGAUAUUAGGAAGAACACCAGUGGCGAAGGCGGCUCUCUGGACUGUAACUGACGCUGAGGCACGAAAGCGUGGGGAGCGAACAGGAUUAGAUACCCUGGUAGUCCACGCCGUAAACGAUGAGUGCUAGGUGUCGGGAGUCAAAUCUCGGUGCCGGAGUAAACACAAUAAGCACUCCGCCUGGGGAGUACGGUCGCAAGACUUAA
rnacentral:rRNA from 1 species